GCGGGCGCUCCUCCCCCAGCCUCGCUGCCGCCUUGCAGUUUGAUCUGAGACUGCUGUGCUAGCAAUCAGCGAGACUCCCUGGGCGUAGGACCCUCCGAGCCAGGUGCGGGUUAUAAUCUCGUGGUGCGCCGUUUUUUAAGCCUGUCGGAAAAGCGCAGUAUUCGGGUGGGAGUGACCGGAUUUUCCAGGUGCCGUCCGUCACCCCUUUCUUUGACUCGGAAAGGGAACUCCCUGACCCCUUGCGCUUCCCAAGUGAGUCAGUGCCUCGCCCUGCUUUGGCUCGCGCACGGUGCGCGCACCCACUGACCUGCGCCCAAUGUCUGGCACUCCAUAGUGAGAUGAACCCGGUACCUCAGAUGGAAAUGCGGAAAUCACCCGUCUUCUGCGUCGCUCACGCUGGGAGCUGUAGACCGGAGCUGUUCCUAUUCGGCCAUCUUGGCUCCCCCCCACAAGAAUAUGACUGCAUUUGGAAAUAGGGACUUUAAAGAGGUGAUUAAGUUACAAUGAGGCCACUAGAGUAGACAAUUAUCCAUUUGGACUGAUGUGCUUAGAAGAAGAGCAUAUUGGUGAAAAGAGACACCAGAGGUACACCAGCACAGAGAAAGACCAUGUGAGGACACAGUGAGAAGAUGGCCAUCUGCAAGCCAAGGACAGAGGCCUCAGGAGAAACCAACCCUGAUGACACCUUGAUCUUGGACUUCACAGCCUCCAGAACUAACAUACUCAAGUGUCUCAGCUCAACAUUUGGAGAUGAGCCAUCCUCCUCUUAUUGUAAAAAAAGCUUGAAGGAGUAUUUUCACAGCGAUGGAACUGGAAGUUAAGGCAACUUCUAUCAGCAUCAAGAAAAGAAACGAAGUAUUCACCACUUAUGAAACAACAUCUCUCUUCUCAUCAAUAGUUUGAUUUACAGCAUCUACUGCAGAAGACCUCAAUAAUGCAUAAGAACAUCUGGAAGUACGGUAAUUUCAGCUAUCAGAGAUAAGAAUUGACACAGAACAGGGAGGAAAACGGGAGCUCCUCUUCUGAUAUCACUGUGAGGAGCUCCAUGGGUCCACUCCCUAGUGAAACUUAUCAGCUGGACAGAAACUCUACUCCAAAAUGGAACAGCCAAGAACACAGGCUUCUCUCUUCUUCCAGCAUCAAGUUGGAGGGCUCUCUUCCCUUAUGGUUCAGAACAUCAACAGUUUUCAUCUUGAUCCCAGCUACCUGUUUCUGAAUCUAAAUUCUGGAUGAGUAUGGCUAAGGCACGGAGGACCCCUUUUAUUUCCUAGUCCUCACUUAUGGGAAAAAUGAUCUAGUAUGGGAGUGGUGUCUGGGCAUACUGGAGCCCCCAGUUGCCCUUGCCCUGGCUCAUGGGAUGAGAAUUUCAUAAGAACAAAGGAAGCAUGCCAAAGAUACCUAAAGAUGCUGCCCCCUUCUUAUCCACUGAGUGUUCAGCUCUUCAACUGGGGUGUCACUUAGAAAGAAGCUCGCCAUUUUCCCUGUCCCAACGCCAAACACUGGGUUAAUAUUUUGUCUGAGAAAACAAGCCGUAGAACAGAGAACUUCAAAGGCCACUUUAAAGAAAGGAACUUCAUUUGCAGCAAAAUGCAAAAAAGUCAGGCACUGGAGCACUCUCAGGAGGACAUCUAGGUAAAAAGCAGUUGGCAAGUGAUGAACACAUUCAUGUGAAAUAUGAGCUCUUCUUAGAGAAGCUAGCUCGUUGGAAAGAAAUGGAGAAAUAGACAGCUUGCAAGAGCCCUUCUGGUGUCAGAACAAAUCUCAAACACUGACCUUUGGAACUACACCUUCAAGGAGCCUAAAUUUCAUUGGAUUAGUGUGUGGAACAAUUUAUGCCCUGGGAUAUUACUGUAAACAGUAGAGCAAUGAGCCAGCAAUUGCUGGAGCUUAACAUGUGGUGUGGUAAGGAGAGAUAAAGAGAGCCCUGUCGAACCUAGAAUAACUCUGGGCUUACCAAAGGGUGUAUCCUCUGAAAAGCAACAUCACGCAGACUUCACUAAAACAACCCAGCCAGUUACUAAACAAGUAAAGAAGAAAAUAUCAAUAACCAGCUCUAGAAUGGAGAGGAAAAUUGCUACAAUACAUUAUCUAAAUUGUUCAGUUUCCAGAAAAAAAAAAUUAGACAUUCAAAGAAACAUGAAAGGAUGAGCCAAAUACUAGAAAAAAAGCAAGCAACAAAAACUGCUGGUGAGAAACAACAGAAAUUGUGUAUAAUAGAUAAAUACUUCAAAGUAGCCCUUAUAAAUAUGUUCAAAGAGCUAAAGAAAACCAUUAUUAAAGAAGUAAACUAUGAUGGAAGUGUUACAUUAGAUAGAGAAGAUCAACAAAAACAUGGAAAUUAUUUGAAAAAUAGAAAAAUCUGAAACUGAAAAGUGUAAUAACUAAAAUGAAGCAUUUACCAGAGGGGCUCAUUAGUAGAUUUUAACAGGCAGAGGAAAGAAUUAGAAAAUUUGAAGACAUUAAUGAGGAAAAAUAAACAAAGAUUCAGAGGAAAUGUAUAUACAGGUUGAGUAUCCCUUAUCCAAAAUGCUUGGGAACAGAAGUGUUUCAGAUUUCAGAUUUUUUAAAAUUGUAGAAUAUUUGCAUAUACAUAGUGAGAUAUCUUGGAGAGGAGACCCAAGUGUAAACACAAAAUUUAUUUGUGUUUCAUAUAUACCUUAUACACAUAGCCUGAAAGUAAUUUUGUAUAAUAUUUUUAAUAAUUUUGUGUAUGAAACGAAGUUUCUGCAUAUUGAACCAUCAGAAAGCAAAAGUGUCACUAUCUCAGCCACUCACGUGGAAAAUCUGUUUUUGUUGGCAUCACCAUCAUUCCUGAAUCUGAAUUUCUCUGCUAUCACAUCUGGAAAUCUGCAGAUUUGGAUGCACAAACAAUUAGACAUAAGACACAGCAUAAUGAAGUAUUUGUUUUCAUAGAGGAUCAUAGAAAUUCAUAAACAGAGGAUGAAGAAACACAGAAGACAGAGGAAGGAUUUAGUUUUGGGGACGUGUGCUAAUGGCCAUCAAACAAUUCUGAAAUAACUGAAAGAGAACCUUUGAAACACCCUUUAGAUUAAGAGCCUGGCUUGUAAUCUAUAACAACAAACGGUAUUACAAUGAGGAUGCUUAGGUUUGCCCUGAUGCCGGAACAGCACAUUUCAGGUUAGUCUACACCAGCAUUUCUCCAUUAGAGAUGACCGUCACCUUUUAUUGGUUUUUUCAUCCUUGCUUGCCACAGAAAAUGCAAACAUGCAAACAAAUGAAUGAGGGCAUGCCCGUCUAAGGAAAAUUCAAAUCCUGUAUGAGGUACUAUAGUGAGAUUGGACUUGUUUAACCAGCAUAGUUCAGAGUGAUCAAGACUGUGUUGGAGGAGAAGAUGAUUGCUUUAUGUGAACUGAGCCCUGCUGCCACACUUUAAAUACUUUUCAUCUUCUGCCAGCUUGCAUCAGCUGUCAGAGGGACAUGCAAAAAAGGAAAUGAAGAUGCAUUUGACUCCAAAACAUUUAGAGAGCAAAAGAAAAGAUCCUUAAAGUGAAGAAUAGAUUUUAAAUUCACUGAAAGACAUCGAAAAGAAGAUUCUCUAUGCAGUUACAAGAUCAUGAUUUUUGGCCAUUUGCAUGGUUCAGGAAUACGAUAGAAGAAGAAGAGGAGCACUUGAUUAAUUGAAACGUCAUUGCAUGGUCACCACAGGUCAAGUGUACAGAGAAAAAUAUAUGUUGGCUACACCCUUAAGAAUCUUACAAACUGAUGAGAAGUUGGGUAAUAGAAAAUGUGCAGAAAUUUCUUAUAAUUUUGCCACUGGGUUUUCUGAAAAAUUUUAUCCUGCAUAAGUGACUUAAUUAUGCCCAUUUCUUCUUUUUCAGUCAGUGUUGGUUCAUUUCAAGAUCAGCACUUCUCUGAACCCUUUUUUUCCAUCUAAACCCUCAUGGUGGCAUAAAAAAAAAAAACAAAAAAAACAAAAAACCAGUCCAACCAAAAAACUCCAGACACUAUCUCCUUACUGCUUAUUUUCCCAAUAUUUUGUGAUACAAAAUUUCAAACAGAUUCAAGGUGAACAUCUAUGUGGCCACUACCUAAAUUCUACCAUUGAUAUUUUACUAUAAACAUUUCAUCACAUAUCCAAUUAUCUAGCCAUCAAUCCAACUUAUAAUUUUUAAUGCAUUUCUAAGAAAUUGCAGACAACAUUACACUUUCCCUAAAUACAUCAGCAUGCCUAUAAUUAACUAGAGGUUAAUAUAUGUUUACCAUAUUUUUUUCUCUUCAAGUACAUUUUACAUACACAAGACAUAUAUACUUGCUGAGUUCUGAUGAAUGCAUAUGUUUGUAUAACCCAACCCCCUGUCAAGAUAUAGGUCACUACCUGUAUCCCAGAAAAUUCCCUCAUCCCGUUUCUAAUCAAUAUUCUACUUCCACCCCAAGAGAGGAAACUGCUGUUCUGUUUCUUCAAUACAGAUUAGUUUUGCUUGUUUUAGAACUUCAUAUAAAAUGGAAUAAUACAGUAUGUACUCCUUUGUGGGUGGCUUCUUUCGCUCUGCAAAUCAUUUUUUUGAGAUCCAUCCAUGCUAAAUGUAUCAGUAGUUUGUUUCUUUUUAUGGCUGAAUAGUAUUACAUUCUCUGAAUACAGUGAAGUUUGUUUAUCUAUUCUCAUAUUGAUGGGCACUUGGACUUUUUCUAGUUUUUAGGUAUUAUAAAUAAAACUUCUAUGAACAUUCUUUGUUAUUUAUGACUUUAGUUUCAAUAGUUUUGAGAGUACAGGUGGCUUUUUCUUACAUGGGUAAGUUGGUUAGUGGUAAUUUCUGAGAUUGUGGUGCAUCUGUUACCUAAGCAGCGUACACUCUACCCAAUAUGUAGUCUUUUAUCCCUCACCCCCCUUGAACAUUCUUUUUAUGGACAUAUGAUUAUAUUUCCUUUGGAAAAAUAUCUGAAUGGAAUUGCUGAUAAUAGAGUAGGUAUAUUGCUACUUUUAUAAGAAACUGAUGGGCCUUUUUACAAAAUUAAUGCUUAUCUUUAUAUUCCCACCAACAUUAAAUUAAAAUUCUGGUUGGCUCACCUCCUUGACAACAUCCGUUAUUGUCAGGCUUUUUAUUUUAGGUUCCCUUGCAUUUUUACUUCUCUAGAUUUUUCCUCAUUUCUCUUGUCUUCAAUCACUCUCUUUCUCCAGAAUUCUUUUUAUCAGCCUUCAAACACGCUCUUGUACUUUCCUCCUUAAAAAACAAAGCAAAACAAAAAUUUUGACCAAUGUCCCCCUUCAGCUACCAAAUUAUUUCUCCACUCUGCUUAACAAGUAUGUUUCUUCACCUUAUCAAUUAACCUACCUCCACUUUAUCACUUGAAAUAUCCUGAUGUCUAGAUGCUGGGAUUCCUUAGACUAUGGUCCUGGGCCCUCUUAUGUUCUAAUCAUUCACUCUCUCCCCAGAAGAUCAUAUUAAUUCCUGGGGGUUUUAAAUACAUCUCUAUGCCAACAACUUUUAAACUUAUAUUUCGGGUCUGUAUUUCCCUCUGAGUUCUAUCUACCUUCUUUACAUUUCCAUUUGUCUAGGAUUCUGAUAUUUCAAGUCACAAUAUCUGACUUUGAACUAGAACUCUUCCAAGUAUUCUGUUCCUCCAGGAUUUUUCAUCUUCCUUAGGAUAGUGUAUUUCCUUUUCUUCAUGUCUAGAAAA